rnacentral:rRNA from 1 species
CAGCACCUCAAGUGGUCAGGAUGAUUAUUGGGCCUAAAGCAUCCGUAGCCGGCGCUGUAAGUUUUCGGUUAAAUCUGUACGCUCGACGUACAGGCUGCCGGGAAUACUGCAGCGCUAGGGAGUGGGAGAGGUAGACGGUACUCGGUAGGAAGGGGUAAAAUCCUUUGAUCUAUUGAUGACCACCUGUGGCGAAGGCGGUCUACCAGAACACGUCCGACGGUGAGGGAUGAAAGCUGGGGGAGCAAACCGGAUUAGAUACCCGAGUAGUCC